rnacentral:rRNA from 1 species
AAGUCGAGCGGAGAACAGACUCGGUUGUCUAGCGGCGGACGGGUGAGGAACGGCGUGGGUAACUCUGCCCCGUAUACAGGGGAAUAACAACUGAGAAAUUAGUGAUAAAGCCGCAUAAGCCCACGGGAUCGCAUGAUCCUGCGGGAAAAACUACCGGUGGUAUAGGAUGAGCCCGCGUCCGAUUAGCUAGUUGGUGAGGUAAUGGCCCACCAAGGCGACGAUCGGUAGCCGGUCUGAGAGGAUGGACGGCCACAUUGGGACUGAGACACGGCCCAAACUCCUACGGGAGGCAGCAGUGGGGAAUAUUGCACAAGUCGGGGGAAACCCUGAUGCAAGCGAUGCCGCGUGAAGGAAGAAGAUUUUCGGAUUGUAAACUUCUAUCAGCGAGGAAGAGAACGGACAGUACUCGAGUAAGCAGCCCCGGCUAACUACGUGCCAGCCGCCGC